GUGAAGAAUUCUUUGUGAUCCUGGAUGUUGCACUGUUCUUCUUGUGACAUGGAUGCUUGUGAUGAAGCUUUCUCUGUCAAGGUCUAAGUUGCUCCCAGUAGUAAAUUUGUCGGUUCGGCAAAUGCCUAUACUUGGAAUGCCAAGGAUGCCAGCUACCGGAAUUGCCCAAAAAUGUGCGUUUUAUUAUUAUGAAAUUCAAAGUCAUUUUGCUGCAUCCUCAUUGUU
rnacentral:misc_RNA from 1 species